rnacentral:rRNA from 1 species
GACGAACGCUGGCGGCGUGCUUAACACAUGCAAGUCGAACGGAAAGGCCCUGCUUUUGUGGGGUUCUCGAGUGGCGAACGGGUGAGUAACACGUGAGUAACCUGCCCUUGUCUUUGGGAUAACUCCAGGAAACUGGGGCUAAUACCGGAUAGGAGCUCCUGCUGCAUGGUGGUGGUUGGAAAGUUUCGGCGGUUGGGGAUGGAUUCGCGGCUUAUCAGCUUGUUGGUGGGGUAGUGGUUUACCAAGGCUUUGACGGGUAGCCGGCCUGGGAGGGUGAACGGCGACAAUGGGACUGAGGGACGGACCAGAAUGCUACGGGAGGCAGCAGUGGGGAAUAUUGCGGAAUGGGGGGGAGCCUGAUGCGGCAGCGCCGCGUGCGGGAAGACGGCCUUCGGGUUGUGAACAGAUUUCGACUGUGACGAGGCGUGAGUGACGGUAAUGGGUAAAGAAGCACCGGCUAACUACGUG